UUAACAGUUAUAGUUUUACCAUAGACAAAGACCACUGGUUGAUGCUCUUCAUAAGAAAAUUAACAUGGCCAACUGUCGCCAACGUUCUUGCUACCCUUCCUCCGAUUUCUCCAACCCCGUAUUACUUCUCCUGCUCUCUAGUGUACGUUUUCAUCUCUACGUUCUGUUUCCUGCUCGCCAACCGUCCGCCAUUGUUCGUGGCAGUUCGUAGAGUCCUCGACGUCGUGAAUUUUCAAUUUUGCAAAAGAAAUGUCGUUGCCGACAGAAAAAGAUAAGCUUUGUAUAUUGUUUCGUUUGUGAUGAUGAUGGAAAUCAUACAAUUGGGCUGCUGGUGCCAAAACAAAAAGAUUGUGGUUGGCCAAGGAAAUAUAACCCAUUUUCUGAUUCCAACAAAGAAAAUCGUCAAGCUCUCACUUCCAAAUCUUCUAAUAAUGGGGUGGAACAUGUAAAUGCAUUCCAAUAUCUGAGCACUGGAAAUCGUCAGCCUCCCAUUUCCAAAGCUUCAAAUAAUGGUACACUCAUAACUUAUCUAUUCUGCCAGCCCCGUGAAUACUCUGAGAUCACUGAUAGUUCCAAUAGGUCAUGUAAUGUGUUUGCAGGGUAAAUGUGUCCAAGCUCUAAGGCUAGUAGCAUUUAAUUACCUUGGCGGCUUGGCACAUAUAUCAAAUAUAUCCCCCAUCAUAUCCCAUUCCAUAUGAUCCAAAUGAAGAAUAUGCAAUAAUUUAUCUUGGUUAAACCUUCGUGACCCAUACCAUCAUAUGCCUCGUUAUCCAAAUGAAAAAAAGACUAGGCAAUUGAUAAUGAUUAAUGAAGAAGAAAUGAAAUAUAUACGAAAAUUGACUAAGAUAUACCCAUUCAACGAUUUC